CGGUUCGAGUCCGCUUACCUCCACUGAUCGACCUCCUUCUAACGAAUUACAAGGAGAUUGACUUUGUUGGAUGUGAUUUAGAUUUGUUCAAACGAAAAGAACCUAGCUUCUUAUCAUUCCUUUUAAUUAAAUUGAUAAUUAACUUGGUUGAUAUGACGCUGGGCUCACUGAGAAUUUAAAAAUCUCAGAGAAGUUCAGUA
rnacentral:misc_RNA from 1 species